GACGAACGCUGGCGGCGUGCUUAACACAUGCAAGUCGAACGAUGACGACCGAGCUUGCUCGGUCUGAUUAGUGGCGAACGGGUGAGUAACACGUGAGCAACCUGCCCUUCACUCUGGGAUAACCUCGGGAAAUCGGGGCUAAUACCGGAUAUGAGCUCCUGUCGCAUGGCGGGUGUUGGAAAGUUUUUCGGUGAAGGAUGGGCUCGCGGCCUAUCUGUUUGUUGGUGAGGUAGUGGCUCACCAAGGCGAUGACGGGUAGCCGGCCUGAGAGGGCGACCGGCCACACUGGGACUGAGACACGGCCCAGACUCCUACGGGAGGCAGCAGUGGGGAAUAUUGCACAAUGGGCGGAAGCCUGAUGCAGCGACGCCGCGUGUGGGAUGACGGCCUUCGGGUUGUAAACCUCUUUCAGCAGGGAAGAAGCGAAAGUGACGGUACCUGCAGAAGAAGCGCCGGCUAACUACGUG
rnacentral:rRNA from 1 species